rnacentral:misc_RNA from 1 species
AAUUCUCAACCUCACCCAUUUUGUCAUGAAGUGUGUGUGUAGGCUUGGAUGUGGAGGCUUGCAGGUCCGGCUCUCUGAGUUGGUCUGCUCCUCUGAAAUGCAUUAGUGGGUUGUGCCCCUCAUCUAUUGGUGUGAUAAUUAUCUACGCCGUGGAUCAGUGUUGGCAACAAUGUGACCUGCUUCUAACCGUCCGACUCGGACAACUUGACAU